GCGCCGCGCCCGGCCGGCCGCCGCCGCAGCCCGACCCCGGCCCGCGCCCGGAGGGGGCUCGGCCGGCAGGUCUGCGUCCCCCCUGAGGAGCCAGUCCCCAGAUCCCGCCAUCCCUGACCACCGUCACGACCGCACCGCCAGAAUGUCAGCUCCACCCGGCGGGGGCUUUCCGGGGAAGGUUUGGGACCAUCCUGACACACAAAACUGGAUCGCAGUAGCUCAUGAAUGAUGGUCUCAAAGAUUCUUCUCAGAGUGAAAGAGACAGAGUUCUGGGAAGAUUAGGACAUUUUAGAAAAUCUCUUCUCCCUCCUAAUCAUGAGCACCACCAAUGCCAUCAUUUCCAUAAUCAUCUUUAGAAUUAUCUGAAGUGGAAAGGGAGCAACAGACCUGUCUAAUGAAUAGGUGGGAAAAAAUAGAACCAGCUGAUCCGUGAUUGGGUGGCCCACUGCGUGCGGUCAGGGGGAACCCGAAGGUUGGACCUGCACCCAUUCUCCAGCUUGGACUCCCUCUCAUCUUGCUCGGCUCCUGCCCCGCUGCAGACACAAGACAGUCUCAACAUCCUACCUUGGUGCCUACGCAGAGAACACUGCACUCCAUCUCAGGAUCGUCUUGCUAUCCCCCCUUCUAAACUUUCAGAGGCAUACAUCUGAGCCUCUCUUGGAGUUUUUGUGUUUUGCUCCUUUAUAUUUGAUACCUAUGAUAUCUUGUCACAUGCUGCAUAAUGAAGUGUUCGUCCAUGAGACACCACAUAGAAUGAUGGACCCCUAAGAUUGUGAUGAAGCUGAAGAAUUCCUGUCACCUAGUGAUGUGGUGAUCGUGGUGACAUCACAACACCACACUCCUAUGCUUGUGAUGAUGCCGGUGUGGACAAACCUACUGAGCUGCUGGGCAUAUGAAGACAGCACGAUACAACUACGUGCAGUACCUGAUGCUCCAUCAUGGACCUCUGCAUCUCUGGCUUGUGCUGUGCCUUCUUGGUGCUUUGGAGAGUACUCCUGCUUGCAAAGAGAGGCUCCCUGGGACGCCGUUGCUUUACCUACACUGUCGGGAGUCGCCACAUGCAUCUUGUGUUCUCCGCGUCUUCUUGACUACAUCGUCAUCUCUGUGCCUGCUUUAAUGUGUGUUGUUGAGCUCAACAUGGGCCUGGGAGCAACAGGCCAUGCCAUGCAUGCCACAUGGCCUAGGCUUGCAGGAGCUGUUCCAUCCAGGUUCAUGUCACCACGCUCAGUGGCAUUCCUGCCUAACUGAGCAGAACAGUCCAGAACUGUUCUCAGAACAGUCCCAUCAUUAAGCGAUGUGUGACUGCAUGGAGGGGCAGAUCCCCUCCCACUGGACUAUAAAUUUGAGGUUAGCCAUAUUCUCCCUCAUGCCUGACUCCAGCCACCAAGCAGGUGCUUUUGAUUGAGCAAGUACCUCCAUAAGCACCUGUCGAAAGAACCAGGAACCGGAAGUUUGGUUCCAUUGCUUCUAGGACCUGUGUUGACAAGAACACAUUUGGGGGAACAAUACCAGGUUGGCAGAGCAGCUGUGAUUUGCCAGACACCUUACCAAGUCUCCUGGGCACAUGGGCAAAUGACAUUUAUUUGCCUGUUUCCUGAUUAAAAGACCCUAUGACUGUUUACUUUUCUUGGCCAGAAACCAGUUAGCAUGAGACUCCAUCCUCUUUCCCACCAGCUGGCGGGGUGCAGAUAAGCAUGGUGGCCUUGGAAACUGCAUCUGAGGGUUGACGCAGCACAGAUGGGCAGAGCCCAGGCCCUCGAAUCAGCACAUGGAAGGAAGCCACCUCCCAACCACCAACACCGUCUGGGGAUUUUUGUGGGUCAGAAACUUGGAAAGGGCUCAGCUGGAUGGUUCUUCUGCUAUAUGUGACAUCAACUGGGAUCAAGCACCUGACCUAUUCAGUCAGCACUGGACAAGACUGAAAGGUCUAAGAAGUCAUUUAUGUCUGCUUGAGAUCUCAGAAUCCCCUCUGUAUGUACUCAGUGUCUCUCUGUGUUGUCUCACCACUUGGUAAUUUAGCUUGCUCUUGCAUGGUAACUGGCAUCCCUACAGAAAACAUCCCUAAGGGCAAGCUGCCAGGCCUCCUAAAAGUCAGUCUUAUAUCUGACACACUGCUACCUUCUCUGCAUUUUACCAUCAGAGCAGGCCACAAGAUCAGCCCAGAUUCAAUGUUGGAAAAAUAGACUCACCUUCCAGUGGGCAGAACUGAUUGCAGCCAUUGUUGGAAACAAUCAACUGCAGAGAAUGAAGUGAGGAGUUGGACCGUGGCAAAGGUAGAAAGGGGCCAUUUCACACUCUAGACAGAGGGAGCCACUAGGACAAGGCCUUGAGAUGGGACACACUCAGUGUUGAGGAUUGAUUACAAAAAAAAAAAAAAAAUCAAAGAGGUCAAAGAUAUAUGGUGACUGUGCUAAAGAGGAAGGAGCAAUAGGGUAAGUCACUACAAAUGGGAUCAGGGCCCUUCUAAGAGGCCUGAACAGCUGACAGAGACAGAGUGUCGGUGAGAUGAUCAGGAGACUUGGAGUCAGGGUUAGGUCUUCAUAUUUUAUUCCAAAUGUGAUGAGAUGCUUUCUUAGGAGAGCAGAGUGAAAUAGCUCAUGUGUCAGAGGGAGCACUCUGGCUGUUCUGUGGAGAAUGGAUCAGAGGAAAGAACUGAAGGAAGGAGGGAGACCAGCGUGGGGCUCCUGCCAUCAUCCUGGUGAGAGGUGUUGGUGACUUAGAGAGAUGCAGCAAGUGGCCAGAUUCUGGGUUUGGGAUUUUGAAAUUACAGCUGGCAAGGCCUGCCAACAGAGUGGAUGGAAAUGGGAGAGAAAGGAUGAAUCAAAGCUGAUUUUUAGAUUUUUGAGGCUAGAUGACUAUCAUUUAGUGGAAUAAAAAAGACAUAGGAGAAAAAGAUUUAAGGUAAGGAGUAAUGAAAAUAAAGAGUUAUGCUUCAGAUCAAGUUCAGAGAGAGAUCAUCAGAAAUCACACUGGAGCUUUUAAUUGAGCAAACUUCUAUGGUCUGCAUGGUUGUGUCACCCCAAACUUCAUGAGCUGAAACCUGAAACCUGCUCCCCAGGGUGAAGACAUUAAGGGGUGGCCUUGAGAGAUAAUUAGGUUGAGGGCAGAGCCAUCAGAAAUGGGCUCAGUGCCCUUCUACGGACACCCAAGGAGUUUGUUUGCCUCUUCCACCCUGUGAAGACCCAGCGUGAAGAUGCCAUCCACAAAUCAGAAAGCAAGCCUCCCUACACACUCAGCCAGCUGGGCCUUGAUCUUGGACUUCCAGCCUCUAAAACUGAGAGCAAUAAAUUUUCUGUUGUUUGUAA